CGGUCCGCGGCCGACAGCCGCGGCUGCUGGCGGCUAAACCGGGGCUCCGAGAGCUGGUCGGUGUUUUAGACGGAGCGUCGCUCGGCCCACACCGCUUCCAUUAUAGGAAUGGUCCGUGGUCAUUGCGUCCAAUUAACAUGCCUACGUGCCCGUCCCACUUUGUCAUUAUGCCCGCGAAAUCUUCCAACUCAAUUCUAAGUAUUUAGUGUGCUAUUGUGCACCGUGUUACGUCCGUCGAACGGUUACUGUCGUCUGUUGGCUCCUCUGCUGGCUGUUAACUGGCUUCUGGUUGCGAGUGUUUCCUUACAUUGUCGCUACGCACGGCCGUCGUUUACCGGUUAGCUGGAAAGCAUACAGGCAUCGGGGAAUACGAAUCCGUUUAGAAAACUAAGUAAACAGUCGAUGAGAUAAAUCUCUCACGCUGCCGUUAGUGGGGACGAGCUUCGACGCAAACUUCUAUUACGGAGGUACGUGGGAGGCGACGACACACAUACACGGUGAGGUCGCCGCUGACGUCACGAGCCAUGUACCUCAACCCUUGCCGGUCACACAAGGAAAAGGCCGACUGAAAGGAAUACAGACAAGGAUGAGAGAAGUCGCGACGUAUUCUUUAUUAUUAUUGAGAACAAUCAACAGUUUAUGUUCAAUUCUCUUGUGCCAAAAACUCGAGGUCUCGUGAAUCAUAGACGCGGAGAUCUAAAUCGUCUUCAUCCUGCUUACGGCAAUUGCUGUAAUGGCGCCGCUUCCAGCUAAACUGACACGAGCGACGCCUCGCGGCCGGCCACGGGCGAGAUGACAGACGUCCCCGGACAUGAUACCUAUUAUAUUUAAGUAUCUGUCCUGACGCUCCGUAUGGUCCGUCGAAAUUAAUCUAAAAUUAAUAAUAUUAUGUAAAUGGUAUCAUUGAUGACUUCACUUCCUCCUUAGACAAGGAAGUGUGUAGGAGUACCGGCUUUUCCUAGAGCUGUAGGGUUUCUAGACGUUCGCUCGUAUAUUGGAUAAUUGCUUCAGGUAUUUUUAGAUAUUACAAGAUGUUGUCACCCUUUUAUAUGUAUGUUGGAUGUGCCUUAUCUUUCAUAACAUCACUAUAUAAUUGAAAAUUUCAUUAAAUUUUAAUACAUAUAAUCUCAAUGAAGUAACUCCAAUUUUAAGUAAUAAAUUAAUACAAGACAGUUUA